AUCCGUUUUGGUUCAUAAACCCAAGUUUGGGUGUUCAUGCCAUCAUGUGUGAUGUGCCUCCCUCUAAAUCUUGUUAUGUCGUCACACUGCCCAUCUGACC
rfam:Ictidomys tridecemlineatus contig015178, whole genome shotgun sequence.